rnacentral:rRNA from 1 species
CCUACGGGGGGCUGCAGUGGGGAAUAUUGGACAAUGGGGGCAACCCUGAUCCAGCCAUGCCGCGUGUGUGAAGAAGGCCCUCGGGUUGUAAAGCACUUUCAGUGAGGAAGAACGCCUGGUGGUUAAUACCCAUCAGGAAAGACAUCACUCACAGAAGAAGCACCGGCUAACUCCGUGCCAGCAGCCGCGGUAAUACGGAGGGUGCGAGCGUUAAUCGGAAUUACUGGGCGUAAAGCGCGCGUAGGUGGCUUGAUAAGCCGGUUGUGAAAGCCCCGGGCUCAACCUGGGAACGGCAUCCGGAACUGUCAAGCUAGAGUGCAGGAGAGGAAGGUAGAAUUCCCGGUGUAGCGGUGAAAUGCGUAGAAAUCGGGAGGAAUACCAGUGGCGAAGGCGGCCUUCUGGACUGACACUGACACUGAGGUGCGAAAGCGUGGGUAGCAAACAGGAUUAGAUACCCUAGUAGUC